CCUACGGGAGGCAGCAGUGAGGAAUAUUGGUCAAUGGGCUUACGCCUGAACCAGCCAAGUCGCGUGAGGGAAGACUGCCCUAUGGGUUGUAAACCUCUUUUGUCAGGGAGCAAUUGGCGCUACGUGUAGCGUUAUCGAGAGUACCUGAAGAAAAAGCAUCGGCUAACUCCUUGCCAGCAGCCGCGGUAAUACGGAGGAUGCGAGCGUUAUCCGGAUUUAUUGGGUUUAAAGGGUGCGUAGGCGGAAUGCCAAGUCAGCGGUAAAAUCGCGGGGCUCAACCUCGCUACGCCGUUGAAACUGGCGGUCUUGAGAUGGCGAGAAGUAUGCGGAAUGCGUGGUGUAGCGGUGAAAUGCAUAGAUAUCACGCAGAACUCCGAUUGCGAAGGCAGCAUACCGGCGCCCAACUGACGCUGAGGCACGAAAGCGUGGGUAUCGAACAGGAUUAGAUACCCGAGUAGUC
rnacentral:rRNA from 1 species